UAAGCCCCAAACGCGGUUAGUACAAUAAAUCACUGACGUUAUAUCAACUUUGAUCAAACCAAAUCCAAAAGAGAUAAAACCAUUGGAUACUACAAAUACACAUUGAAAUUUUCCAUUUUUGGAGCGAAUUUCUAUUGAUGCAGAUUUAUUGAUCAUGGGUUUGUAGGACAUCAAUGUAGUAGUCGACACAACAUCUGCUGGUGUCAAUUUGAGCUCCAUCACAACUCAAGCAUCAUAUUAUGAAAAGGGACGAAAAUAAUUGACAAGUCUUCUAUUGUUUUACAAGGACGAAGCAAUGGUCACAAUAUACCUCAUACCAAAUAUAUUUUUGCAUUUA